rnacentral:rRNA from 1 species
AUUGAACGCUGGCGGCAUGCCUAACACAUGCAAGUCGAGCGGAGCGGCGGACGGGUGAUUAAUGCCUAGGGAUCUGCCUGGUGGUGGGGGAUAACGUCCGGAAAGGGGCCCUAAUAACACAUGAUAUAAGAGGAGCCUCGGUCGGAUUAGCUAGUUGGUGGGGUAAAGGCCUACCAAGGCGACGAUCCGUAACUGGUCUGAGAGGAUGAUCAGUAACACUGGAACUGAGACACGGCCCAGACUCCUACGGGAGGCAGCAGUGGGGAAUAUUGGACAAUGGGCGAAAGCCUGACCGAGCCAGGCCGCGUGUGUGAAGAAGGUCUUCGGAUUGUAAAGCACUUUAAGUUGGGAGGCGUUACCAAAAGAAUAAGCACCGGCUAACUUCGUGCCAGCAGCCGCGGUAAUAC